rnacentral:misc_RNA from 1 species
AAGUCGUAACAAGGUUUCCGUAGGUGAACCUGCGGAAGGAUCAAUAGUGAGAUAGUGUGGGGGAGGGGAUGAUGGUAGUUGAGAACCCCUGGUUCUUGAUUAUCUUUAUCCAACCCCUUAUUAACAUUUACGCGUGACUAGUAUGACAGAGUAAAAGACACAUAAUAUACAACUUUUAACAAGGGAUCUCUUGGCUCUU